AUACGGAGGAUGCGAGCGUUAUCCGGAUUUAUUGGGUUUAAAGGGUGCGUAGGCUGUGCGUUAAGUCAGGGGUGAAAUGCCGUCGCUCAACGACGGAGCUGCCCUUGAUACUGGCGUGCUGGAGUACGGAUGCCGUUGGAGGAAUGAGUGGUGUAGCGGUGAAAUGCUUAGAUAUCACUCAGAACACCGAUUGCGAAGGCAUCUGACGAAUCCGUCACUGACGCUGAGGCACGAAAGCGUGGGGAUAGAACAGGAUUAGAUUCCCUGGUAUUCCACGCCGUAAACGAUGAUGACUAACCGUCGGCGAUAGACAGCCGGUGGCCAAGCGAAAGCGAUAAGUCAUCCACCUGGGGAGUACGUCGGCAACGAUGAAACUCAAAGGAAUUGACGGGG
rnacentral:rRNA from 1 species